rnacentral:rRNA from 1 species
UACGGGGGGGGCAAGCGUUGUUCGGAAUUACUGGGCGUAAAGGGCUCGUAGGCGGCCAACUAAGUCAGACGUGAAAUCCCUCGGCUUAACCGGGGAACUGCGUCUGAUACUGGAUGGCUUGAGUUUGGGAGAGGGAUGCGGAAUUCCAGGUGUAGCAGUGAAAUGCGCAGAUAUCAGGAAGAACACCCGUGGCGAAGGCGGCUCUCUGGGACGGUACUGACGCUGAGACGCGAAAGCGUGGGGAGCGAACAGG